GACGAACGCUGGCGGCGUGCUUAACACAUGCAAGUCGAACGGAAAGGCCCUGCGCUUGUGGGGUGCUCGAGUGCCGAACGGGUGAGUAACACGCGAGUAACCUGCCCUUGACUUUCGGAUAACUUCACGAAACUGGGGCUAAUACCGGAUAGGAGCUCCUGCUGCAUGGUGGGGGUUGGAAAGUUUCGGCGGUUGGGGAUGGACUAGCGGCUUAUCCGCUUGUUGGUGGGGUAGUGGCUGACCAAGGCUUUGACGGGUAGCCGGCCUGAGAGGGUAACCGGGGACAAGAGGACUGAGAGACGGCGCAGACUCCUACGGGAGGCAGCAGUGGGGAGUAUUGCACAAUGGGGGGAAGCCUGAUGCGGCAACGCCGCGUGCGGGAUGACGGCCUACGGGUUGUAAACCGCUGUCGCCGGUGACGAACCGUGAGUGACGGUAAUGGGUAAAGAAGCACCGGCUAACUACGUG
rnacentral:rRNA from 1 species